rnacentral:lncRNA from 1 species
GUGACAAUUGCGCCUCAGCUGGAUGGACAAACCAAGGGCUCGACCCCACCACCUUCCCCAGCCAAAGAACCGAGAGCCCAGCCCGAGAAUCAAGCGCGGCAGCUUGAGAGGUUCCCAGGACAGAUUCCCCUAGGCUCAUCCCCGGAGAUCUCCCUCCCCGGGUCCCGCAGAUAGCCAGGGUGCGACAAAGGCCAUUCCUCGGCCGCCCUGGCCUUCACAGGGAAUCCGAGAAAGGAUCCUGGGGCAGCAGAGGGGAGCUGGAAGAAGCUGGAUUGGAAUCCGGGUCCUCAAACUCCCCAGCCUUGUGCCCUUCUCCAUCCACUCAGCUCCAGGGCCUUUGUUGGGACCCCCAGCUCUUAGCACCCCGUCAGAUCCCGGUGAAAGAACAGAGCAUGAGUUUCCCCCUCUGCACAAGGUGGAGGAGUGUGCCGGAUAAUCCCCAAGGCCGCUCUCGGCUUCGACCUCCAAGGCGGGCCUCGUGAUGUCGUCUCAGCACGUACCAGGUGCCAGACAGGGCCAAGAGGGAUGCGGAUACACUUGUCGUAGGCCGACUGGGCUCCGCUGACCGUGGAAAAGGAUCAAGGAGCUAGGAGGGGCCGGAGUCAGCCCAGAGUGAGUACGCCUGCGCAAAGCCAGCCCGGACCAAGGAAAGACUAAGGGGAAAGAUGGAAUCUGCUGAAUGGGAGAGAGAACUCCUCGUCCUGAGAAUGUCCCGGAGGGAAGGAGGGAUAGGAAGUAGAGCAGUUCAGAGUGCGCCCCAAGGUAGAAAGUGGCUUUGCUGCUAGGGUCCUCAGGUCAUCGAUCAAUCAACAAGCAUUCAGAAGGCACCUACUAUGUGCCAGGCACCUUAUUAGGUGAGUGCUGAGGAUUCAAAAAAGUUAAAAACACUCUCUAUCAUCUAGGAGCUUACAGCCUAGCUGGAAAAGGCGAUCUAGACUGGAAAGCACAAAGGGAGAGGGGAGGAAUAGAAAGACAAAGGGGAGACCCACAGACAGAAACAAGAAAAUCGGAAGUGGGGUGGAAUGCCAAGGGAAAGAAGAAGGNNNNNNNNNNNNNNNNNNNNNNNNNNNNNNNNNNNNNNNNNNNNNNNNNNNNAAGGAAGGAAGGAAGGAAGGAAGGAAGGAAGGAAGGAAGGAAGGAAGGAAGGAAGGAAGGAAGGAAGGGAGGGAGGAGAGAGGAGGG